rnacentral:rRNA from 1 species
UACGGAGGGUGCAAGCGUUAAUCGGAAUUACUGGGCGUAAAGCGCGCGUAGGCGGCUGAUUAAGUCGGAUGUGAAAUCCCCGGGCUCAACCUGGGAACUGCAUACGAUACUGGUCGGCUAGAGUAUGAGAGAGGGAGGUAGAAUUCCACGUGUAGCGGUGAAAUGCGUAGAGAUGUGGAGGAAUACCGAUGGCGAAGGCAGCCCCCUGGGAUAACACUGACGCUCAUGCACGAAAGCGUGGGGAGCAAACAGG